GUAUGUCAGUGUGUCUGUGUGUGUAUGUCAGUAUGUCUGUCAUAGACACACAGACAUACUGACAUACAUACACAAACAGACAU